rnacentral:rRNA from 1 species
CGUGACGGCCCGCCAGAGGACCCAAACACUAAUUUCUUAUUGUAACUUCUGAGUAAAACAAACGCAUAUCAAUAAGCGGAGGAAAAGAAACCAACAGGGAUUGCCCUAGUAACGGCGAGUGAAGCGGCAACAGCUCAAAUUUGAAAUCUGGCUUUCGGGCCCGAGUUGUAAUUUGUAGAGGAUACUUUUGAUGCGGUGCCUUCCGAGUUCCCUGGAACGGGACGCCAUAGAGGGUGAGAGCCCCGUCUGGUUGGAUGCCAAAUCUCUGUAAAGUUCCUUCGACGAGUCGAGUAGUUUGGGAAUGCUGCUCUAAAUGGGAGGUAUAUGUCUUCUAAAGCUAAAUAUUGGCCAGAGACCGAUAGCGCACAUGUAGAGUGAUCGAAAGAUGAAAAGCACUUUGAAAAGAGAGUUAAAAAGUACGUGAAAUUGUUGAAAGGGAAGCGUUUAUGACCAGACUUGGACUUGGUUAAUCAUCUGGGGUUCUCCCCAGUGCACUUUUCCAGUUCAGGCCAGCAUCAGAUUUCGCCGGGGGAUAAAGGCUUCGGGAAUGUAGCUCUCUUCGGGGAGUGUUAUAGCCCGUUUGUAAUACCCUGGCGGAGACUGAGGUUCGCGCUUCUGCAAGGAUGCUGGCGUAAUGGUCAUCAACGACCCGUCUUGAAACACGGACCAAGGAGUCGUCUUCGUAUGCGAGUGUUCGGGUGUCAAACCCCUACGCGUAAUGAAAGUGAACGCAGGUGAGAGCUUCGGCGCAUCAUCGACCGAUCCUGAUGUUCUCGGAUGGAUUUGAGUAAGAGCAUACUGGGCCGGACCCGAAAGUAGGUGAACUAUGCCUGUAUAGGGUGAAGCCAGAGGAAACUCUGGUGGAGGCUCGCAGCGGUUCUGACGUGCAAAUCGAUCGUCAAAUAUGGGCAUGGGGGCGAAAGACUAAUCGAACCUUCUAGUAGCUGGUUUCCGCCGAAUAAAACAAAC